GAUGAACGCUGGCGGCGUGCCUAAUAUAUGCAAGUCGAGCGAACGGACGAGAAGCUUGCUUCUCUGAUGUUAGCGGCGGACGGGUGAGUAACACGUGGAUAACCUACCUAUAAGACUGGGAUAACUUCGGGAAACCGGAGCUAAUACCGGAUAAUAUUUUGAACCGCAUGGUUCAAAAGUGAAAGACGGUCUUGCUGUCACUUAUAGAUGGAUCCGCGCUGCAUUAGCUAGUUGGUAAGGUAACGGCUUACCAAGGCAACGAUGCAUAGCCGACCUGAGGGGGUGAUCGGCCACACUGGAACUGAGACACGGUCCAGACUCCUACGGGAGGCAGCAGUAGGGAAUCUUCCGCAAUGGGCGAAAGCCUGACGGAGCAACGCCGCGUGAGUGAUGAAGGUCUUCGGAUCGUAAAACUCUGUUAUUAGGGAAGAACAUAUGUGUAAGUAACUGUGCACAUCUUGACGGUACCUAAUCAGAAAGCCACGGCUAACUACGUG
rnacentral:rRNA from 1 species